UAACUCUCAGGUUCACCAUGUUC
rnacentral:miRNA from 1 species